UAGUUCCCACUCUACAGUGGCAGAGUUGAGUAGCUGUGACAGAAGCAAUAUGGCUGACAUAUCCUAAAAUAGUCACUAUCUGACCCUUUACAGAACAAGUCCAACAAUCUUGAUAUACUGUAUAAUGAAUCUUACAGAUGGAACAGAAAUAAGACACUAGAUGAUUUACCCAAGAUCUUAUGGUGAGAUAGGAGUUAAAAUUAAGAUCCAACACCUACCAACCUCCCUUUUUUAUCUCCACCUCUUCCUGGAAACAAGGAUACUUGGGUCAGUUUUGAAUGAACAUAGCCAAUGUUAGCUUCUUGGAUUUAUUUUAGAACCUCACAGCCUUAUCCCAAAAUUAUUUAUGUAUUUUCUCCUCGUCUGUGUUUUAGGUCUAACCGUGACACAAGUAUUUCCCAUAGUAACAUUCAAAAUCUAAACUGGCCCUUUGUCUAAAUUUAUUUUUUCCUAGAGAAUUGUUAUGUGUGGUCUAAUAUUAUUGUAGCAGUUUACUAGCAAAGAUACCUUUUGAGGUGCAAAAAUUAGGAAGUAAAAACUUUGGGUACAAGACAUAAAACUUGCCUCUUUUCUAACGUACAGCUGGAACGAAGAACCAAAUGCAGGGUCUUCGGCCAUAUUCAAACCAUUAGAGAGUUCUACUGAUAUCAGAAGCAGAGAAAAAUGCCCAAGAUACAUACUUUAUCACAAUUAGAUAGGGGCUUACCAAGGAAGAAAUGAUAUUUUAAAGCACAGUACAUCAUAUGAUAGAGUAGUAAUGUAACAAACGAGCAGGUGUUUGAAGAUUGCAAUUUGAAUGGAAGCUACAACAUUUUAGCUUCAUCAGAGGAUUCUGCUGCAAAUCAGUUAAACGAGCACUUAUUGAUGGUUUAAAUUAAGAAGCCACAUUUGAACAGGGCCCACUUCCCUUCCCUAUGGAGUGCUGUUAAAGAUUCUUAACCUACUGUGACACUUCUGAUCAAAUCUUCCCUAUUUCAUUCAAUUCAGGUUGAUUUACACUUUCAAAAAUAGUUUAAGAAAAAGGGUGUGUGUGUCAUGAAUAGAGGAUUAGCAGAAUUCUUAAUUUUUUUAAAAUAAAGAUUUCCUAGACUCUGCAGUCAUUUGAAUAUCAGUAACUGUGUUAUGUCAGUAGUAGAUUUUUUUUUUUUCUUUAAGAUAAGAGAGUCGUACUUCUGAGAGAUUCUGAAAUAGUUGUAAGGUCUUCAUGACAUUUUAAUACAUGUGGAAUUAUUGACCACAAAUACAUUGCAGGAAACAGUUCCUUGCCCAUGUUAAAGAUUCCUAUGGUUAAAGUUUAAAGAUCUAGAAAGUGCUUCUUUUGAGUUGACCCCAAAUGAAUAGAGUGGAAAUCUUGCAUGACUAUUAUUACAAUCCAGAUGGUGAAUGGAUACUAUUGAAAACAGUUUUGUAAGGGCCAUUAAGAGUGAUUACCCAUGACUUACACUGGCGAAUAAGAAUAUAUUGCCCAUUCUACCUAAAAUUAAUGACUCAGUCGGUGUUGAAUGCAGCUCUUUUAGAAGCACCAAUAGUGCUUAUUUUUAUGUCAAAUUGAUUAAUAUCCUUUUUUGGGGAGAAAACAUUCAGGGGCCGUUGUUUUAAUUGUACUUAAAUUCAUAGAAUUUCAUAUUCAUAUAAUUAUAAUAGUCCCUGGUUGGAAGGUCCUUAUAUUCAGCAUGAAGCUGUUUUCCUGUGGCUUCCACCUAUUGAACUCAGUCCCAAAUACUUGGGGCCAUCAGAGUAAGAAUGGCUUUUUCUAUAUAUGGAAGCCUAUAUAUGGGAGCACUGCAUAAUGGAAUUAAGGGUUGGUCUCAUGUCCUACCAUUCAUUCAAUAAAGCAUGUAAGUCUUCAAGUUCUCAUCUUUUUCUCUCUACGAUCCCUGAUUAGACAUAACUUCAAGUCAUCAACAAACAGUUUACCCAUGUCCCUCUCAGAUGGUACACUGAACUAACACUGAGCUGAACCAGAUAUAGUACACUGCAGGAACGAAAUAAGGCAGAGUGGAACUUGGACAAUUCCAUAUUUUCUUCUGCUGUCCUGCUAGUAAUAAGUAUCCCAACCUAUUAACUACUUAGCCCAUUAGCCCAUUACAACAAUGGGGUAAUUUUAUUUAUCCCCAUUAUAUACUGUCCCCAUUAUAUACAAUAUAAUGUCCCCAUUAUUCUACUUUAUUCCACUUAUAACUUACACAAAAAAUUGUUGAGUUAUCCCUUUGAUCAAUCUUACUAUGCUUGAUCUUAGCCAAAAGGCUCUUACUAAAAGCAAGAGUGAAUUUGUGUAGUACUAUAAAUUUAGAAAUCAAAAGACCCCCCAAAAAUCCUUUUGCCUCCCUCAGCCUCAGUUUCUUCAUUUGAAAACAAGAUCUUUGGACCAGAUCUACCUUUUUGUGACUGUUACAAAUUUUAGUUAUUGAUAAAACAGUAAGUUUUUAAUUGUUAUUUUGAAGUGUGAGUUGUGUUAAAGUUUUUAUUCCCUUUCUCACAAAAUCCCCAUAGAUAUUAAAUAUAUAUUUUGAGUGAUCAGGAAGGGUUUGUUUUGUUUUGUUUUGUUUUUUUUAAAUCACAAAGCCUUUAACAGAAAAAGAAGAAGUUUGAGAUACUGUUGCUAGUCCUUGCACGUGAGCAUAGUCUGGAUGGGCGGAGAGUGCAGGUAACUUGGUGCCAAAAGAGAGCCUUUACAUGACCUGUGAGGAGGAAUGACCAUGUCUGGAGCCAGGCUAUUGCUCUGAAGAUAGAAUCCUGCUUUUCUUCCUCAGAGACACACCCUCAGCAGUGCCCUUUAGUUGCCCGAGGAUCCAGGCAAUAUUUGAUGGAGUCAUAGCUCACAUCAUGCCACACCAGACCAACCUAGGCUCUCUGUAAGAUACCACUACAGUGGACUGAAUGUUUAUGUUCCCCCAAAAUUCAUAUGUCAACAUUGUAACCCCCAAGGUGAUGAAUAGGGGGUGGGGCCUUUAGGAAGUGAUUAAGUUAUGAGGAUGGGGCUCUCAUGAAGGAGAUUAAUGCCUUUAUGAAAGAGACCCUGAAAUGCCUGGCUGGCUCAGUUGGAAGAAGAUGUGACUCUUGAUCUCAGGGUUGUGAGUUCAAUCCCCACGUUGGCUGUAGAGAUUGCUUAAAUAUUUUUUUUUUAAAGAGUUGAUUUUAAAAAAAGACAACCUGAGAGAGCCCUCAUACCCAUCCACCAUUUAAGGACAGAGUAGGCACCAUUUUGUCUAUGAAGAAACAGGUUCUCACCAGACACCAAAUCUAGCAUCAUCAUCUUGGACUUCCCAGACUCCAGAACGGUGAGAAAUGUUUGUUGCUUAUAAGCCACCCAAUUUAUGGAAUUUUUGUUAUAGCAGGCCAAAAUAGACUAAGACAAUCUUCCACUCAGAAGAUUCUCCUGCUGGCUAGCCCUAUCACCUGAAAUAUUGUUGGAGACCUUGCUUUGGAUAGAGGAUUAUAAAUGUUAGCCCUGUGGGUUAAUUUGCCAAAUCAGAAAGAGGGUAGGUCACUGCUAGGAUUAGACUGCCAAAAAAUUAAGAAAUAUCCAAUUAAAAAUGUUAGAUAUACUUAAAAAGUAUUUAAAAUGAGAUACUAUACAAACAGAAGAGGCAAAUUUGAAUAAGAACUAAGUGGAUCUUCUAGAGAUAGAAAAUAUCAUUGAAAUAAAAAGUCAAUGAACAACCACAACAGUAAAUUAAACAUAGCUGAGGUAAGAAUUAGUGAACUGGGAAAUAGAAUUGACUCAGUACAUAUCCUGGAACACAGUAGAAAUCAAGAGAUGGAAAAUAUAAAUAAGUGACAUAGAAAAUACGAAGAGAAAUCCAACAUACUUCUAAUCCAAGUCCAGAAGGAGAGAAUAAAGAAAUUGUUGAUAUAUUCCAGAAUUUAUGAAAGAUAUGAUAGAUACAGGAAACGAAGUGAGGCCAGAGUAGUAUUAAAAAAAAAAAAUCCAGACAUAACAUACAUUGGUUUGAAACGAUAGCAGUGCAAACACAAAGAGAAAAGCAGAAAAAAACAGAUUAGUGGCAAAGAAUCAACAAUUAGACUGACAAGAGAAUUCUCAACAUAAUAGCACGUAGGAGACAAUGGAAUAUUUACACAUUUUUGAGAGAAAACCAACUGUCUGCCGAGUUGUGUUUAAUCAGCAAAAUUAUCACUGAAGAGUAUGGGUUAAAUAACCCUUUUCAGAAAAGAAAAAAGUAUUUCCACUUUCAGAUCUUUUUUUAAAAAAAUCACUAAAGGAUGACCUUCAGGAAAAAGGAAGUUGAACUCAGAAGGAAUAAAAUAUAAAGUAAUGGUAACAAAGAAUAGAUAAACUUUAAAAUACUGCUUUAAAUAGCAACAAAGGUGCAUAAGAAGUUUAUCAGAACUUUGCAAGACACGGAGAAAAUUAUAAAACCGUAUUGAAAUAAAAAAUUUUCUUAGAUGGGAAGUUAUACAAUGUUCAUGAGUGGUAAGACUCAUUAAAGAAUAAUCAUGUUCAAACUCAUGUAUAAGUCCCGUGCAAUUCUAAUCAAGAUUCCAUGAAGUAUUUUUUUUUUUUAAGAUUUUAUUUAUUCAUUUGAGACACAGAGAUGCACAGAGAGAGAGAGCAUGAGCAGGGAGAGAGGCAGAGGGAGAGGGAGAAGCAGGCUCCCCGCUGAGCCAGGAGCCCGAUGCGGUGCUCCAUCCCAGGACCCUGGGAUCAUGACCUGAGCUGAAGGCAGAUGCUUAACCAUCUGAGCCACCCAGGCACCCCUCUAUGAAGUAUUUUUUUUGUGGAGCUUGAAAGAUUGUUCCAAACAUUCACAUGGAAAUUGAAAGGCCAAGAACUGUCAAAUCAAUUUGAGGAACAAGAUCAAGUGGAAGGUGUGUUUUUUUUCUUUCAUAUUUCAAAGCUUACUACAUAACCUGUAGUUUUAAUGAAAAUGAUGUAAUAUUUUUGGAGAAAUAGAUAGGUAUAUGUAACAAGAUAGACUAAUAACAGAACCAUACAUAUAUGGAAAUAUGUAAUAUAAUAAGAAUAAUAAGGAUAGUAAAUAAAACAUUCUUACUAUAUAAGUUUCAGGCACAAUUGUAAGUGCUUUAUGUAGUCUUUAUUUUAAAAGAUUUAUUGAUUUAUUUUAGAGAGAGAGAGAGAGAGCAGGGGAAGGUCAGGAAGAGAGAAUCUCAAGCAAAUUCCACAUUGAGCUUGGAGCCCGACAUGGGGUGAGAUCAUGACCUGAGCCAAAUUCAACCAACUGACCAGCCAGGUGCCCCAGUGCUUUGCAUAUUCAGACUCCUUUAUCCUCAGAGGUGCAUUAAAUUUCAGUCAAGCACAGCAGCAUUGCUCAUAAUAGUCAUGAAUGGAUGGAUAAACAAAUCGUGGUAUACAUAUACAAUGGACAAUUGUUCAGCCAUGAAAAGGAAUGAAGUAUUGAAACAUGCUACAAAAUGGAUGCGCCGCCAUAGCACUCUGAUAGGUCAGAGAAGCCAGACACAGAAGGUCCCAUUUUGUACGAUUCCUUUUAUAUUAACUAUCCAGAAUAGGCAAAUCCACACAGACAGGAAGCAAAGUAGUGGUUGCUAGGGGCUGGGGAAAGGGGAAAUGGAGAGUGAUUACUUGAAGAAUAUGGGAUGUUCUUCUAGGGGUGAUGAAAAAGUUGUCUAACGAGAGAGCGAUCGUGGCCGCACAACAUUGUGAGUGCACUAGAAGCCAUUGAAUUGUACACUUUAAAAUGGUUCAUUGUUGGGGCGCCUGGGUGGCUCAGUCGUUAAGCGUCUGCCUUCGGCUCAGGUCAUGGUCCCAGGGUCCUGGGAUCGAGCCCUGCAUCGGGCUCCCGGCUCUGCGGGGAGCCUGCUUCUCCCUCUCCCACUCCCCCUGCUUGUGUUCCCUCUCUCUUGCUGUGUCUCUCUCUGUCAAAUAAAUAAAUAAAAUUAAAAAAAAUAAUAAUAAAAUGGUUCAUUGUUAAUGUGAAUUUCACCUCAAAAAAAUUUCCAUCAUCAAGAAUAGACUAUUCAAUAAAGGAUGCUUGGGAAAUUGAUUUCUUCAUAUGGAAAAAUAUAAAGUUUUCUUUUUCAUACGAUACACUAAGAUAAAUACCAGGUAUAUUAAAGCCCUAGAUGCGAGUAAUACUUUAACACUUACACGUACCUUGUUGAACACACACUAAACACUUCCGUCAGAAAUCUCCCUUUUUUAAAGCACAACACACGUACUUGAUAUUAAGAGAAUAUCGUUAUGGUCUUGAGAAGCUAGGAUUUUCUGCAAGAGAAAGGACCAGUAGAAAGUGAAGUGACAAACCACGAAUGAGGAAGGAAUAUUUGGAACCAGGAUAACUGACAAAGGGUUAUUAAUUGAGAAUAUAUGAUGAACUCCCUCACCGCAGUAAGAAAAAAGACAACCCAAUAGAAAAAUGGGCCAAGGCAAUGAACAGACAACUCGCUGAAAAGGAAAUCUGAAAAGAAAUCAGGAACAUGCAAAUCGAAAUAAUGACAUGCCCUUUUGCAUCUGUCAGAUUGACAGAAAAUCCAAGUUUGAGCACAGCUGAUGUUUCACGGGAUGCGGAAAUGUGGGCCCAGUAAAACAUUGCUGAUGGGAUAUAAAAUCGCUUUAGAGAGCAAUUUGGCAUUACCCACACAGCUGAACAGGCGUACAAAACAGUUCCACUCUCAACAUCCAACCUAGAGAAACUCUCAAACAAGCAAAGAGGAAAUAAGUAAAUAUACAAGGAUGUUUACUGCAACACUUUAAGUAAAAACAAAAAUAUGGAAACAACUGUCUAUCAGUAGUGGAUAAAAAAACAUAAAAAGAAUACUAAAAUGACAGUUGUAAGAAAUGAACUCGUGUGUGUGUUCACGCACACAUGCAUACAUAAGCUAAAAAAAAUGUGGAGUGAAAAGAACAAGUUGUGAGACAUUUCAGGCACAUGAAAAUCACACAUGCCAACUCCAGGACACUGAUUAUUUCUAGGAAGGGUGGUGAGAAAAGGAAUGGGAUGGGAGAAGGGUGGCUUUCGGUAUGUCUACAGUGACUUGUUUGUGAACAGUGAAAGGGAUGGAGAGCAAAAAUGGCAAAAUAUUGACAUCUGUUAAAUCCAGGUGGUAAGUGCUUGAGUGUUUAUAUAAGAUUAUUUUUCACACUGUAUAUAUACAAAACAUUUCAUAUUUGAAAGAAAGGGAAAAAGAAAGAUCACGGCCUCAUGCUCAUGGUAAUAUAUGAACUGAAGAAGUACGUUAGCACAGCUUGGUGAGUUGGACCCCCCCACGCACCCCACCCCCACCCCCACCCCAGGAUGAGUUGCACCCGGAAUGCACAAGGGCUUUCAGGCCAGAGCUGCAGAGCAUUCUCUAUGGACACUUUCUGUACAAGGGGGCCUCCUGCUGCGGGAAAGAGGGCAGAUGUUGAGUAACUCAGGGUCUCAGCAAAAGGCAAGGAGGGAAAACAGGAGAGAGGGGGCCAGGUCAAAUACAGAAUGAAUCCGGCCCUGAGGAUGUCCUCUUAAACAAAGCCGAACCCAUGCAUGCAUCUGCUUUCUCCCCACACUCCCUCCAGAUGCCAGCAGUGAGACGGACACGGACCUCCAAGGGGAGGACAGCUGAUAAAAGGUGUCCACAAAUUUGACUGUAUUUGACUGAGCAAACUGGAUACAGCCGACCCAAGGCUUGGUGGGGAUGGGGUGGGGUAGGAAUCAUGCUGAAGAACGCUGGGGAGACUUAAAAGUAAAGGAGGCCAUAUUUUGGGUGUGGAAUUGAAAAGAGGAGGAUUCAUUGAAAGUCCUAAAUGAGUAAUUAGAUCCCCACAUCUCCCCAGUCUCCCACAACCAGCUAACAUCCCUCUUCUGAACUUUGAAGGACACAGGUGGGAGGAAGGAGACGUGUGCAGGGGUGUGACGGGUGGGGUGGUUAGUACCCUGGGGAAAUUGACAGAGCUUCUGCAUUCUGAGGUACCAGACCCAGUGGGGGCAGUUCGGGGUGCUACACUGAAAAUGGGGAGCAGUUAAGGAAAAAUGAAUAUUUUGAUGAAGCAGACCACCCCCUCCCCCGGCCCCAGCCUCCCCUUCUCCCCUCACACUCCCAAAACACUGAGCACGCAGGCUCAGACUCCCAGACGGGAAAAUGGAUCUAUUUUCCCCUCUAGAGAGCUAAUUUGCCCAGGAGAUUUUUGACAUUUUGAGAUUUUGACAUUAGAGAUUUCUGACAUUUGAUGGUCUCCCAACAAAGUAGCUGGGUUUGACUGAGCCCAUUGAAGAUGACAAGCCGGGAGACAAGGCCCUUGUUUUAGAGAGCUGUGAACCGAGUGUUAGGGAGGGCAGGGGCCUGCGCAGUGAAAGCAAGUCAGACUGCACACUACUCUCUACAAUGCAGGUGUCUUUUCCUUGAAGAUAGAAAUACUAUAAAGUAUAGUAAAAAGAUACAGUCAGAUUCGGUGGAAUGGAAUUUCUAAGGAAAGUCAAUUUUAUUGUUUUCAGGUACAAAUGAUUUUCUAAGUUAAACUAGGCUAUCAAAGUAUGGUCUGGCCAGGGCUCUGGGGGACCCACUUUAAUGAAUUAGAUAAAGUUGAUUCAUAUCUCAUAUACUAAAUGAUUGUCAAUUGCUGCUUCUAAGGUAAUUGAGAAUGCUUGAGAGUAACUUAAGUGACACUUUACACUAUUAAUUAGCUCUACCUAACUUUUUUAUUUCAUUGACAGAGCAGAGGCCUGGCUUGAAUUACUUCAGCAAUCCAAGACCUGUCUCUGUUUGAAAGGGCUGGGCCCGGCUUGGAUGCCCAGACUCGAAAGUUCCCUGAACCAGGAGAACCAUGUGCGAAACCCAUCAAGGAAGGCACUGCAGGGAUGAAUUCUGUUGGAUCUCAGGGCUCUGGGGACUAUAUCUCCUGAACGCCAGUCGCCAGACCCCUCCAAACACAUAUGUCCUUCUGGGAGCACCAGACUGGAAUAUUUGAAACCAGAAGUCCAGAAAAUCCAGAACAGAUGUUUUCCCUGAAAAAGGCAGGCUCUGCGUCCCAGAGCCCCUGGGCCUCCCUGCCCCUGGCCAGUGUUGCUCCUGCGUUGGCCCUCUUAUGAGUGAGGGGGAUUACUCCUGACUUCACAUUCUCAGGAACAGGCGUUGGCAGCAGUAAGAAUUUAUUUGGGUUUGACUCCAGGGAAAACCUUCGGAAUCCUUGAGCUUCACAUGGAGAUCUCGCCUGUGCUUACGGACCAGCUAACGUGGAGACCGAAGGUGAACUGGACACAGCUGUUUCUGUUCCGGAAGCUGGGGACGGCUGGGGAGGCAUGUCAUCGUGGCCACUGGGGAAGGGAGCACAGAGGAAGAAAGAAACACAGCACAGUGAUGGGGUACUUUCACUGGCGAUGGGUGAUGGUUUUUCUUGAUUUGAAGAUCUACACACAGAGGAGUGGCAUCUAAGAUAAAACAUGUUGCCAUCAGCAGCCAAACAGGACUUUUUUCAGGUUAACCUUUAAGAAGAAAAUAAAAGCCAUCGCCCCACCCCCAGUGGUGGCUGACUUUGCUGAUAGAACAAGUGGUUGGCUUGACUGGAGGAGCCAUUCUCCAAGAGUCCGGAGGUGCCACGGAGGAGGGCCCUGGAAGGGGGCAAGACCAUGGCAUAGGGCAGACCAGGGAAAGAGAAUCUGAAUCUUUGGAAUUGUGCCACCAGCAUGAGAAUCCUCCCAUAGCGUGGAGAACAUUGGGUCCAGAUCUCAGAAGGCAGUUCGUCUCCCUGUGGCUUCUCUCCCAGGGCACGCUGCCCAUGCCUCCACUAGAUGAAUCCAUCAAGAUAGGGCUGGUUGUUCCCCAGUGUGUCCUCAUUAGCAUUGAAAGGCCCCCCGGCAGUUUGAGAGGGGCUCUUGUUCACCUUUGUACCCAAACCCAAUGCUUAACACAGAGCCAGACAUAAUAGGUGUCCAAAAGGAUGGGACCCACGACCCCAGUUUGCACGAGACUAAAGGGAUGCCCUGAAUGUGGAACUUCUCGUGCUAAAAUGGAGACAGUCUUGGCAAGCUGGAACGUGUUGAUCACCUGGAAUCUGAAUGGACAGUGCCAGUGACACCUCAGAAGCAAGAUUCCAAACUGGAAUUGGCUCACAUGAAAGUCCUGAAAUCCAUAAAGCAAGCUAGCAGAUUGGAGGUUCAGCUUACCGUAUAAUCUCAGAAUACUCUUCAAUUAAAAGGCCAGAGAAACUUCAUCCUGAGGGCUCAGUAAAAAAGAAGUUACCUGAAACCUUCAUUGAACACAUUGGUAUUUUCCUUUAUGUUAAAAUUUGGGAGCUAACACAUUUGCAUGUCAACAUGCUUUACAACAGUCUGACAGAUAAUUGAGAGUUCUGGUGCUGCGGCAUAUGGAGUUAGCACACUCUACCCUGUCUCUGCCACUAAAAGCAGCAAGAAAUCCUGGACAGGACACAUGAAACAUCUAUUUGAAGACUCUGAAAAGUAAAUGGUAGCAGGCAGAUUGGGAAAGGAGACCAGAAUUUGAAGUUCUACUACACUGAUGGUGAGGGAGUCUCUCUCUCUCUCUCUCUCUUUUUUAAGAUUUUAUUUUUAAGCAGUCUCUACAUCCAACCUGGGGCUUGAACUCAUAACCCCGAGAUCGAGAGUUGCAAGCUUCACAGACUGAACCAGCCAGAGGCCCCAAGGAAGUUUCUCUUUUUGUUUUCCUCUGAUGUCACCUGAUUCUGACUCAAACGCAGCCCCAAACCUGGAGGCGCCCACUGGGUAUGGAAACAAAGACUGAAGAGAACUCUUCCUCUUUGUCUGAGGAGCAGGGAAAGGGCUCCUUCAGGUCAGAAAAAGUGGGAGGCAUCUUUUGGAUUUUCCCUAUUCUUCCAUGUCCUAUCUCUAGGCAGCACCAUGAAAAUAGUGGUGACCAGACAGGAGCCUGAAAUUCUAAGGGGGGGGAAUCCUUUCUGACCAGAAUACCUGGGGUCCCAAGAGUAUGGAGUGAAUCUCCAUUGAUGAUAUUUUUUCGCUCCUGUGCUCUCACUGCUUGGCCCUACUUUCAGACACAAUUGUGGGAAGUUUACAGCAGAGCAGGGAAACAAAAAUCCCAGCUUUCUAGUUGCAGGACCAGGGAGAGAGGCCACAGAAGCCAGAAAGUAUUGGGGAGAUCAUGGAGAGAAAGGAGGUCAAGAGAAUAAUCUCAUAAGUUUGUAUAUGAAUUUUUGGGUUCACUUCUGAACUACACAUGCAUGAAUCUGAUUCUAAAAAGCAUACCAUAGGCUUUGAGAACCAAGCUACAGGCUAAAUCAUCAUCAUGUUGCCAGACUGGCUAUUCUGGCAACAUACACAGGAUAAAUCUAGAUAGCACAACAUUUUGAAACUUGAAUUGACAUUGAAGUCAUAGCCCAUGGAAGGCAGAUGAGAACUUGCCGAGUGAAUCUAACCUAGGUGAUUGCUUCCUAAAACAAAAAUCAUCAUUCUUCUUAGGAUUUAUACAAACCUGGAGUCUUAAAGCAAAAUAUUCAAGAUGUCUAGGGUACAAUGCAAAUUUACUCAGCAUUUGAAGAACCAGGAAAAAUUAAACAUUUAAGAGGAAAGAUAAUCAGCAGAGUUCAACCUUAAGAAGGCACAGAUGUUGGAAUUAUCAGACAGAGUUAGUAUAAUUGCACUUAGAGAAAUAAGGUCAAACAUUCUUGAAAUCAAAAAAAAGAAUGUUUCAGCAAAGAAAUAAAAGACAUAAAGAAGAACCAAAAGGGAGAUGAGUGAAAUAGAUAAAAGGGAUUAAGAGAUACAAACUUCCAGUUAUAAAAUAAACAUGUCACAGAGAUGAGAGGCACAGCACAGGGAAUAUAGUCGGUAAUAUUGUAUUAAUGUUGUUUGGUGGCAGUUGGUGACUGCACUCGUGAUGAGUAAUGAAUAAUGUAUAGGAUUGUUGAAUCAUUAUGUUGUACACCUGAAAAUGAUAAAGCAUUGUAUAUUAACUAUAUUUUAAUAAAAUUUUUUAAAUAAAAAACCAAAAAGAAAUUAAGAAGUGAAAAAUACAAUAUCCAAAAUUAAAAAAAAAAAAUCACUGGAUGGGCUCAAUAAGAGAAUGAAGAUGACAGAGAAAAAAACCAGUGAGCUUGUUGAUAGAUCACUAGAAAUUAUCCAAUCUGAACAACACAGAGAAAAAAGAUUGAAAAAAAAUAAAUAAAUAAACAGCCUCAGGAGCCUAUAGGAUAAAUAUAAAAAAUGAGAUUUGGAAAACUUAUGUGCUGAUCAAAGACAUUUAUAUGCAUUAAGUCUAAACCAGUUGUUACAAGCUGGGGAAAAGCUUUCCUUUACUUGAGGAGUUGGUAGGUUAUUGCAUAAAGACAGUAAGAAAAAUGUAGCCUAUCACUGCAUGUUUCCCAUCAUUUUGGUUUCCAGGAAACGGAGUUAAAUUCCAGGCCCAACUAUUACCACAAGUUGCGAACCUUCCAGACAGAUUUUCAUUAUUUAUUUCUAGUGCAAAGGCAAAGAAAUAAAUAAAAGGGAUCCAACUAGAAAAGAACAAGCCAAACUGUUGCUAUUGACAGAUGGCAUGAUUGUCUUCAUAGAAAAUGUAUGGAAUCUAAAAAUUAUACUAGAACUAAUAAAUAAGUUCAUUUAGCAGGAUUGAUGAAUACAAGGUCAAUAUAAAAAAUCAAUUGUAUUUCUAAAUAUUAGUAAUGACCAAUCAGAGAAUGAAAAUUUUUUAAAAAUCAGUAUAACUUAUAAGAGCAUCAGAAACUACAGAUACCUAGGAAUAACUUUAAGGAAAGAUGUGAAAGACCUCCAAAAGAAACACUGCAAAAACAUUGCUGAGGACAGAACAAAUUGAAAAAAAAAAGUUACAUUGCAUUCAUUUUGGUUUUUAAAUGUUGAACCAAUCUUGCCUUCCUUGUAGAAAACCCUCAGUCAUGAAAUGUCAACUUUUUAUGUAAUUUUGAAUUCGAUUUCUUAAAAUUUCAUUGAGAAUUUUUGCUUUAUGUUCAUGAGGAUAUUAUCUGUGCUUUUCUUAUGAGACUCAUGUUUUGAUAUCAGGCAUAUGCUAAUCUCAUAAAAUGGUUUGGGAAAUUUUCAAUCCUCUAUUUGCCAAAAAGAAGUUGUGUAUGAUUGGUAUUAUUUAUUCUUUAACCUGAGAAGGCUGUCUGGACUGGGUUUUUUAUUGUAAGAUUUACAAUUAUUAAACUAAUUUCUUAAAUCAAGGGCUAUUCAUAUUAUUUGCAUCUUCAUGUGUCAGUUAUGCUAAUUUGUAUCCUUAGCAUUGGCCCAUUUCAUCUGGUUUGUCAACUUUAUUGGUAAAAACUUGCUCAUAGUAUUCCAUUUGGUUUUUUUAAUG